GACGAACGCUGGCGGCGUGCUUAACACAUGCAAGUCGAACGCUGAACCCGCUUCGGUGGGGGAUGAGUGGCGAACGGGUGAGUAACACGUGGGCAACCUGCCCCCGGCUCUGGGAUAACUCCAAGAAAUUGGGGCUAAUACCGGAUGUGACCGCUGGCCGCAUGGUCUGGUGGUGGAAAGGGUUUCCGGCUGGGGAUGGGCCCGCGGCCUAUCAGCUUGUUGGUGGGGUAGUGGCCUACCAAGGCGACGACGCGUAGCCGGCCUGAGAGGGUGACCGGCCACACUGGGACUGAGACACGGCCCAGACUCCUACGGGAGGCAGCAGUGGGGAAUAUUGCGCAAUGGGCGGAAGCCUGACGCAGCGACGCCGCGUGGGGGAUGACGGCCUUCGGGUUGUAAACCUCUUUCAGCAGGGACGAAGCGCAAGUGACGGUACCUGCAGAAGAAGCACCGGCCAACUACGUG
rnacentral:rRNA from 1 species